UUGAUCCUGCCAGUUAGUCAUAUUGUUUUCAAAGAAUUAAGCCAUGCAAUGUGUAAGUUAAUGAACUAAUUCAGACUGUGAAACUGCGAAUGGGUCUCAUACAAUCAGUUAUAGUUUGUUUGAUGGUACCUGCUACUUCGGAUAACCCGUAGUAAUUCUAGAGCUAAUACGUGCAACAAACCCCGACUUCUGGAAGGGAUGCAUUUAUUAUUAUAAGGUUCAACGCGGGCUCUGCCCGUUGCUCUGAUGAUUCUUGAAUAACUCGACGGAUCGCACGGCCUUUGCGCCGGCGACGCAUCAUUCAAAUUUCUGCCUAUCAACUUUCGAUGGUAGGAUAGUGGCCUACCAUGGUGGUGACGGGUGACGGAAUUAGGGUUCGAUUCCGGAGAGGGAGCCUGAGAAACGGGCUACCACAUCAAGGAAGGCAGCAGGCGCGCAAAAUUACCCAAUUCCUGACACGGGAGGUAGUGACAAUAAAUAACAAUACCGGCUCUUUUGAGUCUGGUACUUGGAAUGAGUACAAUCAUAAAAUCCCUUAACGAGGAUGCCUCAUUGGAGGCAAGUCUGCGUGCCAUAGCAGCCUCGCGGUAAUUCCAGCUCAAUAGCGAAUAUAUUUUACAGUUGUCUGCAGCUUAUAAAGCUCGUAGUUGGACCUUGAGGUGUGGUACGAACCGGUCCCGCCUUUGGUGUGCAACGGCCGUCUCGCUCUUUCGCGGCAUGCGCUCACAUGGGCCUUAACUGGCCGGAGUGUGGCCUCCGGCACUGUUUACUUUAACGAAAUUAGAGUGCUCAAAGCAAGCCUAUACGCUCUGUAUACAUUGAGCAUGGGAUAAACAUUAUAGGAUUCCGGUCCUAAUGUGUUGGCCUUCGGGAAUCGGGAGUAUGUUUAACAAGGGACAGUCGGGGCAUUCGAUAUUCUAAGUCAGAGGUGGUGAAAUUCUUGGAUUAUUAUGAAAGGACGAAACACUGCGAAAGACUUUGCCAGGAUGUUUUCAUUAAUCAGAACAAAGUUGGGGGCUCGAAGAACGAUCAGAUACCGUUCUAGUCUCAACCAUAAACAGCAUGCCGACAGGGAUCGGCGGAUGUUAAUUUUAGGACGCCGCCGGCAGCCUUAUGAGAAAUCAAAACGUUUUUUGGGUUCGGGGGGAAGUAUCGGUCGCAAGGCUGAAACUUAAAGGAAUUGACCGGAAAGGGACCACCAGGAGUGGGAGCCUGCGGCUUAAAUUUGACUCAACACGGGGAAACCUUACCAGGUCCAGACAGUAGUAAGGAUUGACAGACUGAAGAGCUUUUCUUGAUUCUAUGGGUGGUGGUGCAUGCCGUUCUUAGUUGGUGGGAGCGAUUUUUUGUUCUGGUUUAUUUCCGUUAACGAACGGAACCUUCAGCCUGCUAAUAGCUAUGCGGAGGGUAUACCUUCGCCAGCUUAAGCUUCUUAGAGGGACCUAUGGCCUUUUAGGCCACGGAAGGUUGAAGGCAAAUCAACAGCGUCUGUGAUUGGCCAUUAGAUGUUCUGGGCCGCAACGCGCGCUAACACUGAUGUAUUCAACGAGUCAAUAUAGCCUUGACCGACAGGUCCCCGGGUAAUCUUUGAAAUUUCUCGUGAUGGGGAAUAGAUCAUUGCAUUGUUUGGCUUCACGAGGAAUUUCUAGUAAAAGCGCGAGUCUUCAGCUCGCGUUUGACUACGUCCCUGCCCUUUGUACACACCGCCCGUCGGCUCUACCGAUGAAAUAGGUCCGGUUGAUAGUGUUCGCAUAUCGGCGGCGUAGCGUGGGCGGUCGCCGCAUAAACUUCAUAAUCUCAAAAUAUAAUAUUUCGUAUUUAAUUAAUGUAACCAUUAAAAUCUCAUUGGUCAAUU
rnacentral:rRNA from 1 species